CCUACGGGUGGCAGCAGUGGGGGAUAUUGCACAAUGGGGGAAACCCUGAUGCAGCGACGCCGCGUGUGGGAAGACGGUCUUCUGGAUUGUAAACCACUGUCCCCAGGGACGAAAAUGACGGUACCUGGGGAGGAAGCUCCGGCUAACUACGUGCCAGCAGCCGCGGUAAUACGUAGGGAGCAAGCGUUGUCCGGAAUUACUGGGUGUAAAGGGAGCGUAGGCGGGGAUGCAAGUUGGGGGUCAAAACUACCGGCUCAACCGAUAGUCGCACUCAAAACUGCAACUCUUGAGUGAAGUAGAGGCAGGCGGAAUUCCUAGUGUAGCGGUGAAAUGCGUAGAUAUUAGGAGGAACACCAGUGGCGAAGGCGGCCUGCUGGGCUUUGACUGACGCUGAGGCUCGAAAGUGUGGGGAGCAAACAGGAUUAGAUACCCUAGUAGUC
rnacentral:rRNA from 1 species